rnacentral:rRNA from 1 species
UAACACGGGGGGAGCAAGCGUUGUUCGGAAUCACUGGGCGUAAAGGGCGUGUAGGCGGUCAAGUAAGUGGAAUGUGAAAGCCCCCGGCUUACCCGGGGAUCUGCAUCCCAUACUGCUUGGCUUGAGUACGGGAGAGGAUGGAGGAAUUCCUGGUGUAGCGGUGAAAUGCGUAGAUAUCAGGAGGAACACCGGUGGCGAAGGCGUCCAUCUGGCCCGAUACUGACGCUGAGGCGCGAAAGCUAGGGGAGCGAACGGGAUUAGAUACCCCGGUAGUCCUAGCCGUAAACGGUGAGCACUAGGUGUUGGAGGCAUCGACCCCUCCAGUGCCGCAGCUAACGCAUUAAGUGCUCCGCCUGGGGAGUACGGCCGCAAGGUUG